ensembl:rRNA 5S_rRNA 5S ribosomal RNA
GCUUACGACCACACCGGCCUGAGUACGCCUGAUCUCGUCUGAUCUCGGAAGCUAAGCAGGGUCGGGCCUGUUUAGUACUUGGAUGGGAGACUUCCUGGGAAUACCAGGUGCUGUAAGCU